CUUAAAGGUGGUAAAAUCUUAUGAAUUGAGUGAAGCAAACCAGAAAACACGCGUCGAUUGCUGCGUUAUAUUGCUCAACCGACACAAUAAUAAAGGGAUUUUAAAUCGAAUCAUUACUUGUGAUGAAAAUUGAAUCCUUUACGAUAAUCGGAAGCGUUCGUCGCAAUGGCUGUCCCCUGGAGAAGCAGCCAAAUCCUGCCCUAAGCGAAAAUUUACUCAGAAAAAGUUACUUGUGAGUGUUUGGUGGACUAGUGCCGUUGUCGUACACUAUAGA